rnacentral:rRNA from 1 species
GUGAGGAAUAUUGGUCAAUGGGCGGGAGCCUGAACCAGCCAAGUCGCGUGAAGGAAGAAGGAUCUAUGGUUCGUAAACUUCUUUUGCAGGGGAAUAAAGUGCAGGACGUGUCCUGUUUUGUAUGUACCCUGAGAAUAAGGAUCGGCUAACUCCGUGCCAGCAGCCGCGGUAAUACGGAGGAUCCGAGCGUUAUCCGGAUUUAUUGGGUUUAAAGGGUGCGUAGGUGGUUUGAUAAGUCAGCGGUGAAAGUUUGCAGCUUAACUGUAAAAAUGCCGUUGAAACUGUCGGACUUGAGUGUAAAUGAGGUAGGCGGAAUGCGUGGUGUAGCGGUGAAAUGCAUAGAUAUCACGCAGAACUCCGAUUGCGAAGGCAGCUUACUAAGCUACAACUGACACUGAAGCACGAAAGCGUGGGGAUCAAACAGGAUUAGAUACUCGUGUAGUCC